CAAUCCAUCCACUCCACCCAACCGACCUGACCACCUCCCUUGUUUUCAGCUCCAGCCUCCACCUCUCCCUCCAGACCCAGCCACCGCUCUCUCCAUUCCUUCAUCGGGAUCUCGACCCGCAGCCAACCACCUCCCCCAUCGAUCCAUCCAUCCAUCGAAUCGAGCCAGCAGCCGCUCGAGAGCCCCCUGGCUCGCCUCCAUCCUCGGGCGCGAGAGGAGCUCUCCCGAGGCUCCCGAGCCGCCCUCCGCCUCGAUCCGCCGGUGCCCGACCCCGGGGCCUCGCGCUGAUGGCCGCCGGCCACUCAAGCAGCAGCAACAGACCACAGCGCCCCUCUCCUCCAUUCUUCCCUUCUCUUCCUCCCUGCCUCUCUCUCUCACCUCGUCUCCCUGCAGGAACGGAGUGCCGACGUCCCGCCAUGGAUGACGCCAUGGUUGCCGAGCUCCUCCACCUGCACCACGACGCCCUCCUCCUGCGGCAUAUGGCUCCCACAGGAGCUCCCAUGCCUAUGCCUCGACCCCGCCGUCCUCACCAAGUCCAGCACUACUCACCGCCGUCCUGUUCGUCUUCCAGCCGCGCCGCGUCGAGCUCUGUCGCGCCAAGUCCCAUCUUGCCGCCAUGGCCUGCACCGCGCCCUCUGCAUUCUGUAGCGCCAUGGCCCCUGCUCCGAUCGAACCGGCCCCGGCGUUGCCCGCGCCUUCCUCGCCCGCGUCGGCCACGUCCAGCGCCAAGACUCGCCGCGGCCUUUUUUUCUCUAUGAGAAACACCCGUAACUUUAUUCAUGCUCGUAACAAUUACAGACUUUAUUCAUGCUCGUAACAAUUACAGGUACACUGAUUUGGCACACUGAUUUGAAUUACAAAGUAACUCUUAUGACUAAAAAUUACAAUAAAAUCUUUUAAAAACA